rnacentral:rRNA from 1 species
UACGUAGGCAGCAAGCGUUGUUCGGAAUUACUGGGCGUAAAGAGUGUGUAGGCGGUGCUCUAAGUUCGGUGUGAAAUCUCCCGCUUAACUGGGAGGGUGCGCCGGAAACUGGAGUGCUUGAGCGCGGGAGAGGAAAGCGGAAUUCCUGGUGUAGCGGUGAAAUGCGUAGAUAUCAGGAGGAACACCGGUGGCGAAGGCGGCAUCCUGGACCGACACUGACGCUGAGGCGCGAAAGCUAGGGUAGCAAACGGG